AUGGUAUGGAUGUCCUCGACAUAUUUGUCUUUCCCUCAAACACACUCUCAAGAAAGAGAGACACUAAGCUUCACUUUCACAAGACUUACACAUGCAUGUGUUAGACGACAUGUUUUCCCAUGCACAAUGGCACAUCGAUCAUCUACUUGUGAGCAUGAGAGGCAUCAGGAAACUGGAAGUAGCACAGUGAAUGGCGAUAGAUACAAAGUUCCCUUGAUAUGGACGCGGUAUUGUCAACAGUUGAUGUUCCUGAGACUCAACCAGUUAAGGAGUUUAAUAAGCCAUGCAAAAGCUGUAGCUGCUACUGUCGUGCACUGA
rnacentral:rRNA from 1 species